rnacentral:rRNA from 1 species
UACGUAGGGCGCGAGCGUUAAUCGGAAUUACUGGGCGUAAAGUGUGCGCAGGCGGCCGCGCAAGUCGAGUGUGAAAGCCCCGAGCUUAACUUGGGAAUUGCGCUCGAAACUACGUGGCUGGAGUGUGGCAGAGGAAGGUGGAAUUCCACGUGUAGCGGUGAAAUGCGUAGAGAUGUGGAGGAACACCGAUGGCGAAGGCAGCCUUCUGGGCCAACACUGACGCUCAUGCACGAAAGCGUGGGGAGCAAACAGG